UUGACAAUUUAGGUGGGUUGGUCCGGACUGGUCUGGUUUGUCGUGGAUCCCCGUCGCCCUUAUCCGUUCCGCUCGUCAUCAGCGGCGGCGAUGGCGACGCAGCAGCAGCAGCUUCUCGUUCGCUCAUGGGGGCCACGGGUCGGCACUGCCGGGAUUCGCGCGAUUCGGCCACUGGCCAGCGCGCUGCGGAUGUGAAGAUUGGGAUGAUCGCGGGGCCCGCGGCUGCCGCGCAGGCGGCGGGAGCUGGAGGCCACGGGGAUGGCGCCACGGCGGCGGCGCGAGGAACUUUGGAACUGCGCAAUGGUUAUAUUUUCUAGGACAAGUUUGGACAGGGAUGGGAGAGAUCUGGAGGACAGUUUGGGGUACUAUUGAAUUGGAGAAAAAAAAUGUUAUUAUACCAUGUUGCUGAAGAUGCAUCAAUGAUCAAAUGCAUCAAGUUGCUGAAACAGGAGAUCAAGGAACUUCCAAGGAUUAUGUUGUCAGAUGCAUCAAAGGGUAGGAUUGCCGCUUCCAGUGAUGAUCUUGUGUUUGAAUCCAUUGCAUGUGGUAAUAUGAGCACCGUUGGCAUGAGUUCUAAACAUAUAAAUAAUCCAAUUUUGGCAGCUAGACCCUA